rnacentral:rRNA from 1 species
AUACAUGCAAGUCGAGCGAACAGAUAAGGAGCUUGCUCCUUUGACGUUAGCGGCGGACGGGUGAGUAACACGUGGAUAACCUACCUAUAAGACUGGGAUAACUUCGGGAAACCGGAGCUAAUACCGGAUAACAUAUUGAACCGCAUGGUUCAAUAGUGAAAGGCGGCUUUGCUGUCACUUAUAGAUGGAUCCGCGCCGUAUUAGCUAGUUGGUAAGGUAACGGCUUACCAAGGCAACGAUACGUAGCCGACCUGAGAGGGUGAUCGGCCACACUGGAACUGAGACACGGUCCAGACUCCUACGGGAGGCAGCAGUAGGGAAUCUUCCGCAAUGGGCGAAAGCCUGACGGAGCAACGCCGCGUGAGUGAUGAAGGUCUUCGGAUCGUAAAACUCUGUUAUCAGGGAAGAACAAAUGUGUAAGUAACUGUGCACAUCUUGACGGUACCUGAUCAGA